AUUGAACGCUGGCGGCAGGCCUAACACAUGCAAGUCGAACGAGUGGCGGACGGGUGAGUAAUGUCUGGGAAACUGCCUGAUGGAGGGGGAUAACUACUGGAAACGGUAGCUAAUACCGCCUACCAUCGGAUGUGCCCAGAUGGGAUUAGCUAGUAGGUGGGGUAACGGCUCACCUAGGCGACGAUCCCUAGCUGGUCCGAGAGGAUAACCGGCAACACGGGAACUGAGACAGGGUCCAGACUCCAACGGAAGGCGGCAGUGGGGACUAUUGCAAAAUGGGCGCAAGCCUGAUGCAGCCAUGCCGCGUGUAUGAAGAGGGCCUUGGGGUUGUAAAGUACUUUCAGCGGGGAGGCGUUACCCGCAGAGGAAGCCCCGGCUAACUCCGUGCCAGCAGCCGCGGUAAUAC
rnacentral:rRNA from 1 species